CAGUAAAAAUGGUGAACCUUCUCCUUCUGCCAAAAAAAGAGUGAAUGACAGGUGUUAGGGGCAAAACUAGACAUCAAUGAAUAGAAGUUAACCACACAAAUGGACAGUCAAAUGAUCAAAGCAGAAAGCAUUCAUAAGAAAAGAGGAGAAAUCUCAUUGGAUAGAAGAAGAAACUGUGAUCAGGAAUUUCCAAGUUUGGAAGUGCUUGACUAUGCUCUAAGCUUGUGUAUGGUGGUUCCCCAACUUAAAGAUGAUAAAGAUAAUUGGAUGAUAAGAGACAUAGCCAAACAGAUAAUGAUCAAAAUCUAUGAUCUAAACAUCAAACUGAUAGCAUUUUUUGAUGCCAUAGAUGCCACGUUUUCUACAAGUAUGGCAGUAAGAAAUAAAACACAAAUUGAUAUAACCAUGAGAUGGCAGUCAUACUACCAAAAAUAAAUGGAUUCUACACAAUUCUAUAGAACCUAGUUGCCUUUAGCAAUUAUAUUGCAUACAAGCCAUGGCCCAUGAUAGAACAAGCAAUUACAAAGAACUAGAGUGAAAUCUAUGAAAUAAUGCUAGACUGGAUGUUAAAAAUAUCAGAUAUCUUCAAUGGAGUUUGUAAUGUCAUAUAUAUGAUUCGCACAGAGUGUUGGGACAGCUGCGACGACAAGGCUUGUAAAAGCUAUAGAAUUCUGCAUGCAUUCAAAUUUACUAAUAUUUAUAAGCAAUAAGCCAAGUUAAUAAAUCUCACUGUCAACAAUUCACAAUCCAUAUG
rnacentral:misc_RNA from 1 species